ensembl:lncRNA
UGACAGUUCAAGGAAAGGAAACAGAAGAUACUUUCGGGAGGGGCUAUUAUGUGCCAGGCCCUGAGCAAGAUGCUCUGUGUAUGCGACCUUCCGAAUGCUCGGAAAACCUCGUGAGCUAUGUACUGUUUUUGCCUUUUUACAGAUGAGGAGGAGGAGGUCGAACAGCAUUCAUACCGAUCACCCUGAAGGUCGUAAGCUCUCCUCUCUGGGGGCCACUCGGAUGCCCAUUUGCCCUCCUGUCCAGGCCUGCGGUCCCGCGCGUUCUCCGUGGCUGCGCCCCAAGAACCAGGGAGCACCUCCCAGCCCUCACCAUCUGUGGGUGGGUUAUCCUCACCGAACUUGGCUCCAUGAAUGCCUCCCAGAGAGCUGCCAGAUUGAAACUGCUUCCCGGGGACUCAGACAUUGCUGGGAAGCUCUGGGGUGGUGGACCCUUGAAUCAUAUGCACAAACCCCUUGGCCUGGCAGGCAGUGGCUGCUAGGGGACAGGGGCACGCUGCGGACACGGACGGGCGGUGGAGAGGUCCUUCCCUCGCCUGUCAGCGGGGCAGGUGGGACUAGACUGGAUCGGCCAAUCCGAGCAAAGUGCUGUCUUGUAUCGUGUAGCGUCCCCUCCCCAGCCCCGUGGUAAGAAUGGCUAAUUGCUGAUGGCUCAGCGCCCCACAGAGCCAAGAGACUUCAGGCAGCCACCGCUAAAUGGUCCGAGCUGGCACCCGAUCUGCCAUUCCAGGGCUGGAAGCUGUCUGAGGUCCGUUUCCGCCCUGACCUGAUAUGAUUACCCCCAUGAUUCAAACACGGUCCCUGCCCUCAAGGAACUUCGGAACUGAUGAGCAUCUUAAGGGUCGGUGCCGAGCGAGGGGGCGGUCGGAGGAGGGGGGACAUCUCUGCACGGCUCCUCACCAGGCAUUCCGUCAUUUCACAGUCGGGGCAUUGAUUUUACUUUUCGACGUGUAAUUUCCACCUCCUGGAUUCCAUUAUCACUCGCUCAAUAUCCGACAACUCGCCAUUUCUCUGGCCACCGCUCUGAGACUCAUGCAUUGCUGAGCAUAAGCAGAAGACAUUGCCUAAAACGCAUUACUACCUGGACGUAAUGAUUGGGUUUUACACAGCCAAGACCUUGAUGGUUCUGUAUGUAAGCAAUCAUUCCACCUGCUUCCUUCCCAGUCACGUGGACUCCCCAGCAGGAACUGAGAAUUAACCCCCUGUGCUCAGGUCCCCGGCCCGGACUACCCCAGCCUCUCUGUCCAAGCGCCUUCCCUGAUGUGUGAAACACCCCGCAGCUGGAUGCUGCUGCUCCUGCCUUCUGUUUCGGGGAUGCUGCCGUUAACAGAUUCUCUGGAAGACACCCAAAUCUGUCCACCCAGAGCUGCCGGAAGCAUUUCUUUAUGAACGCAGUGAGGAGGUACGAUGCAGUGGCAGAAUUCAGUGAUUCUCCAAGUGCGCACCCCAGCCCUACGGCAUCAGUGUCACCUGGAAGCUUGUUAGAAAAGUGCGUUCUCGGGGCGCCUGGGUGGCUCAGUCGGUUAGGCGUCUGACUUCGGCUCGGGUCAUGAUCUCGCGGUUCGUGAGUUCGAGCCCGGCGUCGGGCUCUGUGCUGAUCUGCUGCGGAACCUGCUUGGGAUUCUCUCUCUCUCCCUCUCUCUCUCUGCUCUGUCUCUCUCUCGCGCUCAAAAUAAAUAAAUAAACUUAAAAAACA